rnacentral:rRNA from 1 species
GAUGAACGCUGGCGGCGUGCCUAAUACAUGCAAGUCGAGCGAACAGAUGCGGAGCUUGCUCCUCUGACGUUAGCGGCGGACGGGUGAGUAACACGUGGAUAACCUACCUAUAAGACUGGGAUAACUUCGGGAAACCGGAGCUAAUACCGGAUAAUAUAUUGAACCGCAUGGUUCAAUAGUGAAAGACGGUUUUGCUGUCACUUAUAGAUGGAUCCGCGCCGCAUUAGCUAGUUGGUAGGGUAACGGCUUACCAAGGCAACGAUGCGUAGCCGACCUGAGAGGGGGAUGGCCCACACUGGAAGUGAGACGCGGUCCAGGGACCGAGGGGAGGCAGAAGUAGGGAAGCUUCCGAGAAGGGCGAAAGCCUGACGGAGCAACGCAGCGUGAGUGAUGAAGGGCUGCGGAUCGUAAAACGCUGUUAUUAGGGAAGAACAAAUGUGUAAGUAACGAUGCACGUCUGGACGGAACCUAAACAGAAAGCCACGGCUAACUACGU